UUCCAAGUACUAGUUAUCAUAUAAACAUUUUCGUUCUAAUUAUGGUGUGUAGUAGUGACUUUAUUUACUACAAUUAUACGCAUAUUUAACUGACUACAAUAUUUUCAGAUUGCAAUACAGCAGACAAUGAAAGCCAUGGUGAGACAUGAAUUCGCGAUUCUAUCAGUUUGGAAAAUAUAAACAUCCUACGAUGACAAUGGACUAGAAGAUACUGAUAAUAAUAAUUGUUUUAUUCAACAUGGCAAUACAGCAGAUGACUCAAGGAAUGCUGAGACAUUUAUUCAUAUGCAUACAACUUUGGAAAAGUAUGAACAUCCAAUGUUGAAAAUGAACUAAAAGAUACUGAUUAUAAAGAAUUAAUGCAAUGUACGUGUAAUGA